UAGGAGGUUGUAUAGUGAAGUACAAAGGAUUUUGAGUCUUUUGGUGCAGGUUCGAGUCCUGUUCUUCUA
rnacentral:tRNA from 1 species